rnacentral:rRNA from 1 species
UACGUAGGGGGCAAGCGUUGUCCGGAUUUAUUGGGCGUAAAGAGCUCGUGGGUGGUUUGCUGCGUCCGCUGUGAAAACCCAAGGCUUAACCUUGGGCUUGCAGUGGAUACGGGCAGACUAGAGGUAGGUAGGGGAGAAUGGAAUUCCCGGUGUAGCGGUGAAAUGCGCAGAUAUCGGGAGGAACACCGGUGGCGAAGGCGGUUCUCUGGGCCUUACCUGACACUGAGGAGCGAAAGCGUGGGGAGCGAACAGG